GCCAAGGUGGCAGAGGCAGGCAAUUGCGAAAGGCCUAAGCCCUUUUAACUCAGGGGUUCAAAUCCCCUCCUUGACCC
rnacentral:tRNA from 1 species